rnacentral:lncRNA from 1 species
GAGCCGCCACCGUGCGUUAUUUAUCCCAAAGGAGGGAAAGGAAACGCUCGAAGUAAACCUGGAAAAGACAUGGUCUCGCGACCAGAGAAAGAUGGGAUCGGGAGUCGGUUAUGCGAAGGGAAGGUAUUAGCACCCCUACGCAUCCGUCGUACUCGACGGGAUCCACGCUAAGAGAGAAUAGAAGAAAGGUUGCUAAACAUUGCUCAAACACCACACAAGGCAG